UGGCUGAGCAGUGGGGCUCAGGUAGCCCUUUGCUUCCUUAAAAGAAAAUGAUCUUGAAAAAGGAACUCUAUGCAACUUACAAGAGGAAGCUGAAGUAUAAGCAAGCUUAGCAAAGGUCCAUCCUAACCUUCUGAUCAUUGCGUUUCCUGUUGUCAACAAUGUUUCCAUCAUCAUUAUCCAUGACCAUCUCUUGGCAUAGGGCAAUGUUAUUCUAAUUUUAAACAAGAGAACAACAAACCCCUGCACUUGCAGGGUCCCUUCCAGCACUAUCAACUAAGAGAGACUGGGUCCAGUCACACAGGAUUCUGUGGCAGAGGCAGGAACAGAAUCUAAAUCUCCUGUAGAGUUGAACUGCACAUUUGCCAGAAAAUAUCUUUCCUCUCUACCCAUCUCAAACUGCACAG